GCAUUUGCCUUUUGUGAUACGCUUUCAAAGAGUCAGGUUGUUUGGGAAUGCAGCCUAAAUUGGGUGGUAAAUCUCACCUAAAGCUAAAUAUUGGCGAGAAACCGAUAGCGAACAAGUACCGUGAGGGAAAGAUGAAAAGAACUUUGAAAAGAGAGUUAAACAGUAUGUGAAAUUGUUAAAAGGGAACCGUUUGGAGCCAGACUGGCUUGUCUGUAAUCAAUCUAGGCUUCGGCCUGGAUGCACUUGCAGGCUAUGCCUGCCAACGACAAUUUGACUUGAGGGAAAAAACUAAGGGAAAUGUGGCCCACUUGUGGGUGUUAUAGUCCCUUAGAAAAUACCUUGGGUUGGAUUGAGGAACGCAGCGAAUGCUUUUUGGCGAGUUUUCCAGGAAGGUUUUCUGAGGUACUACGGUAUCAAGGUUGAUCUUUU
rnacentral:rRNA from 2 species